AGUGAACGCUGGCGGUAGGCCUAACACAUGCAAGUCGAACAGCAGCACAGUAAGAGCUUGCUCUUACGGGUGGCGAGUGGCGGACGGGUGAGGAAUACAUCGGAAUCUACUUUUUCGUGGGGGAUAACGUAGGGAAACUUACGCUAAUACCGCAUACGACCUACGGGUGAAAGCAGGGGAUCUUCGGACCUUGCGCGAUUGAAUGAGCCGAUGUCGGAUUAGCUAGUUGGCGGGGUAAAGGCCCACCAAGGCGACGAUCCGUAGCUGGUCUGAGAGGAUGGUCAGCCACACUGGAACUGAGACACGGUCCAGACUCCUACGGGAGGCAGCAGUGGGGAAUAUUGGACAAAGGGCGCAAGCCUGAUCCAGCCAUACCGCGUGGGUGAAGAAGGCCUUCGGGUUGUAAAGCCCUUUUGUUGGGAAAGAAAAGCAGCAGGUUAAUACCCCGCUGUUCUGACGGUACCCAAAGAAUAAGCACCGGCUAACUUCGUG
rnacentral:rRNA from 1 species